ensembl:lncRNA
GGAAAAGGGAGGCAAAAGGAGAGACCCGAAGCGGCCGCCGGUCCGCGUGUCAGGUGAACUGAACUUCAGGUAUGCUUUUACUGCAUUUGCAGUGUGAUCAUUGUCACGCUGAACAAAAGAAGCGUUGCCAAUCAGAUGCUUUCAAGAAGGUUAAUUGUCAUCAUUACAGAAGGAUUCAGUGGAGCAUCUGAGAAAUUAAUGGAGUGAGCUGAGCAGACAAAAUGGACUGGAAAACUCUAAAUUUGUGGAGUCUUAAAAAAAGAAAAGAAGACAGAGCAGAAGAGCAACCAUCUCACCUCAGCAGGAUCUCUGAUUUAACUGGUCAGAGGGUCAGAGCUGUAGGAGCCAAAGGUCAGCAUACUGUGGGACUCAUACUGUGAGAGCUUCCAGGAUCAGAAUUGGGUGUUGGCGUUCUUCGCAAAUUUGAAGUUUGUCAGGAGAGGAAGGUACAAACAGCUGCUGCUGGAAGCUGUCCAGACAUCUCCAGAGAGACGACCUUCAGAGGGAG